CUCAUUUGCAUGGUGGUUGGCCGAGACAUCUAGAGAGAGAGAGACAGAGAGAAGGAGAAGACAAAGAAGAGGAGGCCAAGGUUUGUGGUCCUAAGGUUUGAAUUUCACAAGAGCAUAGUGAAGGUAUUGGGCAAGGGUUCAGCCUACAACGGUGUUGGAGAUUAGAAAUCAGAAGGGAGAGGAUAUUAGGUUUCAAAUUUUGGUGUACUCAAGGUGAGGAAGGACCUUGUAUUGGUGUUGUUUUGAUCUUGGGGUCUCACAUAUGCAAAUUGUUGUAUUAGAUUUGUUAUGGUUCUUAUAUGUGAUGAGUGGUUUUUUUUUUUUUUGGUUUGUGUUCUCUUUAUGUCUAGAUAAUGCAUGUGGAGUUUCUUUUUAUUUUAAUUGAUUUUCUAUCAACUUGUUUAUGUUUUUAAUACUAGAAGCAUGUUAGGGUUUCAUGACAUCUUUAUGAGUUAUGAUUUGAUUUUUUUUUUAAGAUUAAUAUUGGGUUAUUGUUGUUUCAAUAAAUCUUGAUGUCUUGAUAAUAAAAAUACAAAGUGGACAUUAGAAGCAUGCUAAUAGGGCUUCGACCUAGGGUAUCUUAAAGGGUUGUGAGAUUGUAUUUUGGUUUCUUUAUUCUAUUUUUAAAACCAUUGAUUAUGACCUUGUUAAAUUUGUAAUAUCUUUCAUGUAUUAUGCUAUAUAGAAUUCAUCCUUGGG